CCCGCCACUCUGCCUGUCUGUCUGUGACUGGUAUAGUCCAGUGGUGGCUGAGAGUGACCCCAGCUCUAGGAAGCAGGGCUGCCCUGACCCAUGGGCAGCUCUGUGCCGAAAGACCUGGAACAAAU